AGGGGCCAACAUGAAAAAUGGAGCAUAAUGGGAUCUGGACCCACAAUCCAUAAAUCCUCCUUUAACAACUUAAGAGCGUUUAUUAUCGAUCCAGAAGUUUCAUUGGAUCAACAGAGAAAAUACACGACCAAAAUGCUUCGGUUGAAAGCGCCUGAGGGGAACAUGGAAGAGCACAGGUUCAAUGGGUUGCCAUGCAUGAGAAGAACGCAGCCAACCACCGGCCUGGUCGAGCUGUGUGGCAAGUAGCUGCAUAUGGCUGCAACAUACGGUGGCGGCACCGACGGCGGAGACGGCACCUGGAAGACACGGAAACAUGGUAAGAGCACUAAGCCCAAUUUGAAUUUACAAAUUUUCCAGUUAAUUUAAUCACGGCGAACUCUUUCUCAAGUUGUUUGCUGAUGUGGGUUAACAUAUUAGAUGGGUUUAUGUUGUAUGUGUGGGUAAAAGAUAGAAAGAUAUUACUAGGGUGGGAAAAAUGUUUUGAAUUUAUAGAAAAUGUAAUAAGUUGUAGCAACUGAUUGAAUUUUGAUUUUGUUCUGGUUUUAGAAAGUAAAAUUUAAGAAAAAAAUUAUGAGAAAAUUUUCAUAAAG